rnacentral:lncRNA from 1 species
GUACUACUACUAAUAGUAAUCGCUCGUUCUAUGUUCCUCGGUUGGGCCGAAAUUAAUAACUACGUACUCUGAAGUACACGAACAAGUAACUAACUACGGAGUAUACAUCUAACUACGUGCGUAGUGGUAUAUCCACCGAUUCCGCCGGCCAGACGUCUCAUCUCACGUAUAAGCUUAAUUUCUUGCCGUUCAUCCCACCAGACCAGGAUUCUGACUCGCAAUGGAAUAUUCACGUUUCAUUCUGGAGGCGAGCAUGAGCAGUAGUACUCUGGAGUCCUGAGCGGCCUUUGCAGCGUAUGUUUUGGACUACGUACAUUGCGUCUGCAUCCUGUCUCCUUCGUUUUAUCCGGGCUUUGGGGUUAAGUUCUCGCCAAGUCUUUCCACAGAUUCCGGAAGCCCGACCGAUUCCAUUUGUCUCCGUGAGAUUGUUAAACACUAUUUGAUGGCUGAGCUCUGAAUCGAAUCUUCACAACAAUACGUAUACUACCCGGUAGUGUUUACAUCGAUGUACUAUCUUUGUCGGUGAUAUUAUAUGCGUACGGUUUGAUAACGGACAUGGUCUAGACAUUCGUUCCCGGCCAUCAAUGAUCAAUCCCAAUACCGCCACCAAACCCGAUGGCUUCCAAUGCGUUACGCAAAUCAAGAAGGCCACCAGCUUUUAACACCGGAUGUCGGGGCAAUGUUGUGUUUCCUAUCAAUUCAUCCGUCUGGGUAAGUAGCGCUGACACGUGCCAAGGUAGACAACAUCGUGUCAUCGUCACAUCGCGGUUUCGAUGUUCAACGUAAUACACGGGGGAUACUUGGCUCGGGUCAUUUAACAAUCAGUCGCACGCACCGCAGGGCUUCGGAGGUUAUCAGCCCAGUGUCUGACCGGGAAUCCUCCUUUGCUCGGCGGAGUUUCAUUUUCCGGUACACACAGAGUAUUUCUACUGGCAUUCGCAAUCAGGCUAAAUUUGGCUGCAGCAUUCAUACAUUCAUGCACGCCUCUAAGCCUAAUGCCUGCCAGCAACUAACUACUACUACUACUACUACUACGUAACUGUGCUUCCGUUCAACAUUCAUUUUCCAGGCCCUCCCCUGUACCCGCGCCGCCAAGCCCGCGACAAGCAGCGCCUUUCACCCCUGACGCACAGCGCGCUGAGGCCGCAGGCUUGGCGGCGCGGGUAAGCUUUAAGUUACAUGACAAGUUAAGUUACAUCCCAAUUCCACUCUGCCAUCAUCCAUCGCCAUUCGGGCCGCCGUCACGUAGAUAAUAAGAUGCAUCAUCUGAGUAGAGGGGGGAAAGGCCAGGUUCUUUGAUGUACACAUCGUCUAUUGGGAAUACCUGCCCUCUACUCUGAGUAGAUACCCAGUCAAAACAGAAUGUCCUAGCCGCGAAAACACAAUUUGGGCCUUAUCGGGACAUGCCGUUACCCUUACAUAGCGUGCACUAGUUUUAUACUAGUAGUUGGAAGUUCCGUCA